AAAGCAUGUAUUAUUAUAUCACUUAAGAUAUUUAACAAACUACUAAACCACACUCUUUUCUUCUUGCAUCAAUUGGCUUGAGGCAGAGCAUCAGAAACAGUAAACAUUUGUUUUACUUUGAAACAAUUAAUGUUAAUAAAAGGCGUCAGGAUUAAUCUGAAAGAAAAAAGAUCUUUGAAUCUUUCAUCCAGAUUCCCAAUGUCAUUAAUAUCAACAUAAGCCCAGAAGACUCUUAAACUCUUUGGAGUCUCUUCAAGAUAUAGACUAGUUGCUUGCAAUUAGAAUCCAGAUUAACUGGUGCCUAAUAUUCCUUGUAAAAAUAAAAAUGCAAACAUAGAAGUACAAAACUAUUCUGUUAGUAAGAGAAUCUACAUUAAUCAUUAAAAAUUGAAUUCAAAAUAAAUUGCACAGAGACAAUAGCUUUGUUCAUUACUCUUACUUUGUUUAAGGGUUCAAAUUUGGUUUGGGUUUAAGAUGCUCAUAUAUCUGUGUUUAUAUUUUAGUGCAGGAUAUUCAGAAUUUUUUAUCCUACAACAUUCUCUAACAGGUUGUAUGUAUUAUGAAGCUUGACAACCAACCAGAUGAGCAUGGUUGAUUAAGUUACCCUACUUCCUGAUUUACGUUACUAAAGCUUUUGGAGAUUCCCAAGUGGAAUGUAAAUAUAAAACAAAGCAAGAAAGUCCUGUUUUAUUCCACCAGGAGGAAAAUCAGUAAAUGUUAUCUAGCCCUUUAUAUGGAACUUUCUAAUAUGUUCUUUGGAGAGGACCGAACCCUGCAUUCAAUUAUGCAUGAUAUGCUGCAGAUGUUGUCGUGCAUGCAUCUCUGGGAGGUAUCUUGUACCUCGUGAAAGAAGGAAAAAGAACUUUGAUUGGGAUCCCAGUCUUCACUGACCAGCUGUAGGCAGUGCGCUGUGGACAUCAGCAACAUUACAGUGGGUCUUUGGCCAGUAUCUUGCCUACAAGGAUUGUUGCUCCAUAUCUGCCAGGUAAGACUAACAUACUCUUUUUGAUAGGGCUGUUUAUAUGUCAGCUAAGAAAAUAACUCCUUGAUGUG
rnacentral:lncRNA from 1 species